rnacentral:lncRNA from 1 species
GGACUUAUACACCAGCCCCUCCCCGGCCCCCACAGUUAUCAGGCCUUUGGGCUUGGACUGGAACUAUACCACUCACUUUCCUGGGCCUCUAGCUUGCAGUCAGCACAUCAUGGGACUUUUUGGCCUCCAUAAUUGGGUGACUCAAUCAUUCAUAAUAAGUCCCUUUAUCUACCUUCUUCCUUCCUACCUUCCUUCUUUCUUCUUUCCUUUCCUUUCUUUCUUUUUUCUUUCUUUUUUUCUUUCUCCUCUUUCUUUCACUCUUUCUUUCUAUCUCUAUCUCUCUCUUUCUCUCUCUCCUUCUUUCCUCCUCUUUCUUUCUUUCUUUCUUUCUCUCUUUCUCUCUUUCUUGGUCUGUUUCUCUGGAAAACCCUGACUAAUACAG